AAGGAAACUGCCGAAGACAGUAGGUGCCGUAAGGCAUAAGGUGAGAACGCCUACCGAGGAGUAAUGAAUUCGUGAGAAUGAUUUAUGAGACCUCCCUGUCAUGCAGGGAGGUUUUUUU
rnacentral:sRNA from 1 species